GACGAACGCUGGCGGCGUGCCUAAUACAUGCCAGUUGAGCGCUGAAGGUUGGUACUUGUACCAACUGGAUGAGCAGCGAACGGGUGAGUAACGCGUGGGGAAUCUGCCUUUGAGCGGGGGACAACAUUUGGAAACGAAUGCUAAUACCGCAUAAAAACUUUAAACACAAGUUUUAAGUUUGAAAGAUGCAAUUGCAUCACUCAAAGAUGAUCCCGCGUUGUAUUAGCUAGUUGGUGAGGUAAAGGCUCACCAAGGCGAUGAUACAUAGCCGACCUGAGAGGGUGAUAGGCCACAUUGGGACUGAGACACGGCCCAAACUCCUACGGGAGGCAGCAGUAGGGAAUCUUCGGCAAUGGACGAAAGGCUGACCGAGCAACGCCGCGUGAGUGAAGAAGGGUUUCGGAUCGUAAAACUCUGUUGGUAGAGAAGAACGUUGGUGAGAGUGGAAAGCUCAUCAAGUGACGGUAACUACCCAGAAAGGGACGGCUAACUACGUG
rnacentral:rRNA from 1 species